AUCCAGCUGACGAGUCCAAAAUAAGACGAAACGCAUGUCCUGGAU
rnacentral:hammerhead_ribozyme from 1 species